rnacentral:lncRNA from 1 species
CCAGGACCUCCAGACACUCAGCAUGAUGGCUGCUGCACACUGCGGGCUAAAGGUCACGAUAAAUAGAAGGAAAUGGAGAAAUGAGAUUGACUGGGCAAGAGUGGCUCUUGAGCCAUUUGAGGGUUCAGUGUAAUCUUUGCUCCAUGGAGAGCCUGACCCACUGACCUUGAUAGAGAAGACCCACUGAGGUUCGUGGAACUCAACAUUGAGUACUCUGUCUUCCACUUGCUUCUGUAGGUGGUAAGUUGUAUCUCCUGCUUUCUUCUCUUUUUAAAUAUCAAAUGUAGAGUGCUUGCAGGCCCUGUGCUAUGUCCAGCAGAGUGUGAUGGGGUGGUUUUAUCUAUUGUUUGCCUUUCUACCUUCCUGCUUCAUUCCUUAUUUUUCUGUCUUUAAAGACUGGCUCUGUGUUUCUUGGCAGUUUAUAUCUCUGUGUUUGAAGACUUCCCACUGCCUCUGCCUCCUCAGUCUCUCUAUAUGCUUUAAUUUAUUAACAGAUUUUCAGAGCAUCUUGGAACUAAAAGAAAUUUGAAAAAAAAAAAAGCAAACAAUGAAACCACUACUACUGUUUCUCCAGUCUUCUCUAUUUAUAAGCUCUUGACAUCUACUGUCUGCUCACAGGAAGCUCCAUUAGAGACUGAAGCAGAACUCAUUAUGAAAUGCCAGUAGCUCUAAACAGGCUUAUCUACAGCUUUCUGAUAAGCAGGUCUUGGAAGAAAAGUGUCUAAUGCUGCACAGCUUACAAUCCAGAGUUAUACAUGGAAUCAUGGGAUCCCCCAAUGGCCAGUGUAAAAUGGUUCACUUCUGUCAUACAAACACAGAGACCAAACAGCCUACCCUAAUGAGCUGUGGUUAUAAAACAUAAUAGAGGUACCAUAGACUAGUCAGGAUUUAGAUGCAGGAAUGAAGUUUCAGAGAAGCACUAAAACAGUCAAGAAGUGAGCAGUGAACAACUGAGAACUCCUAACAGUCUACAAGCUGAGAGGAUCCCUGAAUCACCCAAGGAAACGCUCUGCUGUGGUGAAGUGGUGAGACCCGCAAGGUUUCUUUUCCCCUGAUUUGGAAUUUCUUUCUUGAUCUCCAAGACAGCCUUUUCUUCUCAUUAAAUUCUUCUCUUCCCACCAAAUGCCUCCAUCCUUCAUGGAGCAAACUGCAUAUUGCUUCAAAUUGUUUUCUCUGAAAAAUUCCAGAAAUCGGGAAUCUGUUGCAUUCUAACUGAUUCUGAGUAAUAGUGAGUGGACAAAUACAGGCUGUAGUCUUGGUAAAAAGAAAAAAAAGGGUUGUUAGGUCUGCUAGCAAUGUUAGAACUCUGAACAAAUACGUAAAGUGUUCUAAGUUGCACUAAAGUGUUUACUGUAGAUUGC